ACAUUCUCUGGGAUUUCUACAGGAUUUCUAACCAGUUAGCCUGGUUAUUGUGAUGUUGAAGGGGCACUAUACAUUCAUGUCUUUUUUUAUUGCAGGCUAUGGACUUAUCUGGCAAACUUACCCCAUACACAAUGAAUAGCCCCUUACCUUCUCAGAGCAAAAAAGGAAAGAGGUACUAUUGGCCAAUAGUGAAGUGUGUGACUGUCAAGGUGCCAAAUAAGGAUCUUCUCCAGCAUGUCACACUUGUGGACCUUCCUGGAAGUGGUGACUGUAACAAGAGCAGAGAUGAAAUGUGGAAAAGGAUUGUUGGUGAGUGUUGCGUUGUGUGGAUUGUGACUGAGAUUAAAAGAGCAGCAUCUAAAGAGACAGCCUGGAAAAUCUUGAGCCGUGUCAGUAGGUUCAUUGGAAAUGGUGGCGAGUGCCAGCGUAUUUGCUUUAUUUGCUCCAAGUCUGAUGUAACUGGAAUUUCACAUGGCCGUUUGCCAGGUGAAGUCCAUAAACUCAUAGUUAACAGAAACACACAAGCCAAGGAACAAGUAAAGCAAAAAAUAAAAAAUAAGAAGGUGAGUUUUAUAGGUAGAGUGAAAAUCUAACCCAAAAACAAUAGCAAGAAAGCUUUAAAAUGUAUUCAAUUUUCUCCAGAAACCCUUCAGUGAUAACUGUUUCGAAGUGUUCACAGUGAGCUCCCGUGAGUUCCUACAAAAAGAGCAUCUAGAUCCAGAAGAAACUGAAAUACCCAAACUUCAAAAACUUCUGAAAGAGCUCAACAACCUUCACUCAGAGACAAAACAUUAUGUGACUGGAGCUUUUACAAUUCUGUCUCUGAUUCAAGAUGCCAAACACAAAAAAGCAGUAAGAUACUCAAGUA